GUUGCGCAAUGGAUAGCACAUUGGACUUCUAAUCCAAAGGUCAUGAGUUCGAAUCCCAACUGGCA